rnacentral:rRNA from 1 species
CCAUGCGAGUCGAGAGGGUUCGGCCCUCGGCGGACUGCUCAGUAACACGUGGAUAAUCUGCCCUUAGGUGGAGCAUAACCUCGGGAAACUGAGAAUAAUACUCCAUAGGUCUAGAAUGCUGGAAUGCAUCUAGACUCAAAGAUUUAUCGCCUAAGGAUGAGUCUGCGGACUAUCAGGUUGUAGUCAGGGUAAUGGCCUGACUAGCCUACGACGGAUACGGGUUGUGAGAGCAAUAACCCGGAGACGAUAUCUGAGACACGAUAUCGGGCCCUACGGGGCGCAGCAGGCGCGAAACCUUCACACUGUGCGAAAGCGCGAUGAGGGGAUCCCAAGUGCUUGCUCUUAGGAGUAAGCUGUUUUCCUGUUUAAAUCGCAGGAAGAGGAAGGGCUGGGUAAGACGGGUGCCAGCCGCCGCGGUAAUACCUGCAGCUCAAGUGGUGGCCGCUAUUAUUGGGCCUAAAACGUUCGUAGCCGGUUUGGUAAAUGCCUGGGUAAAUCGAGCCGCUUAACGGUUCGAAUUCCGGGUAGACUGCCAGACUUGAGACCGGGAGAGGCUAGAGGUACUCCUGGGGUAGAGGUGAAAUUCUGUAAUCCUGGGGGGACCACCAGUGGCGAAGGCGUCUAGCUAGAACGGGUCUGACGGUGAGGGACGAAGCCCUGGGGCGCAAACCGGAUUAGAUACCCGGGUAGUCCAGGGUGUAAACGCUGCUUGCUUGAUGUUAGUCGGGCUCUGAGCCCGAUUAGUGUCGGAGAGAAGUUGUUAAGCAAGCUGCCUGGGAAGUACGGUCG